UACGAGGGGUGCAAGCGUUGUUCGGAUUUAUUGGGCGUAAAGCGCACGCAGGCGGUCUGUCAAGUCGGAUGUGAAAUCCCCGGGCUCAACCUGGGAACUGCAUUCGAAACUGGCAGGCUAGAGUCUUGUAGAGGGGGGUAGAAUUCCAGGUGUAGCGGUGAAAUGCGUAGAGAUCUGGAGGAAUACCGGUGGCGAAGGCGGCCCCCUGGGCAGUGGCUGACGCUGAGGCGCGACAGCGUGGGGAGCAAACAGG
rnacentral:rRNA from 1 species